UUCAGUCUUCACUGAAGGUGCGUAAGAAGCUGGGGCGAAUUUAUGGAGGAAUCUGGAAAUUUGUAUCCUCUUAGCAAGAACAGCAGACAUUUCUAUAUGUCCACAUGAAGAGGGCUGGAAAACCUCAGCGACGUUCCUGGGUAAAGUCUGGGUUGAGACAGACACACGGUGUUGAUCCAUCCCUCCAGUGAAGACCUGGACCACAAACAGUUGGCAGCAUCAACCAUAACGUCAUCGGCAUCUUUGUAAUGGAUUGGUGGCCAGUGAGAAUGUGCUCCAAAGACAUGACCAACCCUCCAGGUGUGACGAAACCCGCCACUGACCACCUCACCUGAAUAAACCGCUGCUGUGAAGAGCAGCGAUCACUGAUUCUCUAGUUCCACCGUUCCUGCUACACUUAUUCCUUGUUUUUAGCUGUAAAGAAUAUAACUCUUCCCCAUUUA